rnacentral:rRNA from 1 species
GACGAACGCUGGCGGCGUGCUUAACACAUGCAAGUCGAGCGGAAAGGCCCUGCUUUUGUGGGGUGCUCGAGUGGCGAACGGGUGAGUAACACGUGAGUAACCUGCCCUUGACUUUGGGAUAACUUCAGGAAACUGGGGCUAAUACCGGAUAGGAGCUCCUGCUGCAUGGUGGGGGUUGGAAAGUUUCGGCGGCUGGGGAUGGACUCGCGGCUUAUCAGCUUGUUGGUGGGGUAGUGGCUUACCAAGGCUUUGACGGGUAGCCGGCCUGAGAGGGUGACCGGCCACAUUGGGACUGAGAUACGGCCCAGACUCCUACGGGAGGCAGCAGUGGGGAAUAUUGCACAAUGGGCGGAAGCCUGAUGCAGCAACGCCGCGUGCGGGAUGACGGCCUUCGGGUUGUAAACCGCUUUCGCCUGUGACGAAGCGUGAGUGACGGUAAUGGGUAAAGAAGCACCGGCUAACUACGUGCCAGCAGCCGCGGUGAUACGUAGGGUGCGAGCGUUGUCCGGAUUUAUUGGGCGUAAAGGGCUCGUAGGUGGUUGAUCGCGUCGGAAGUGUAAUCUUGGGGCUUAACCCUGAGCGUGCUUUCGAUACGGGUUGACUUGAGGAAGGUAGGGGAGAAUGGAAUUCCUGGUGGAGCGGUGGAAUGCGCAGAUAUCAGGAGGAACACCAGUGGCGAAGGCGGUUCUCUGGGCCUUUCCUGACGCUGAGGAGCGAAAGCGUGGGGAGCGAACAGGCUUAGAUACCCUGGUAGUCCACGCUGUAAACGGUGGGUACUAGGUGUGGGGUCCAUUCCACGGGUUCCGUGCCGUAGCUAACGCUUUAAGUACCCCGCCUGGGGAGUACGGCCGCAAGGCUAAAACUCAAAGGAAUUGACGGGGCCCCGCACAAGCGGCGGAGCAUGCGGAUUAAUUCGAUGCAACGCGUAGAACCUUACCUGGGUUUGACAUGGAUCGGGAGUGCUCAGAGAUGGGUGUGCCUCUUUUGGGGUCGGUUCACAGGUGGUGCAUGGCUGUCGUCAGCUCGUGUCGUGAGAUGUUGGGUUAAGUCCCGCAACGAGCGCAACCCUUGUUCACUGUUGCCAGCACGUUAUGGUGGGGACUCAGUGGAGACCGCCGGGGUCAACUCGGAGGAAGGUGGGGAUGACGUCAAGUCAUCAUGCCCCUUAUGUCCAGGGCUUCACGCAUGCUACAAUGGCUGGUACAGAGAGUGGCGAGCCUGUGAGGGUGAGCGAAUCUCGGAAAGCCGGUCUCAGUUCGGAUUGGGGUCUGCAACUCGACCUCAUGAAGUCGGAGUCGCUAGUAAUCGCAGAUCAGCAACGCUGCGGUGAAUACGUUCCCGGGGCU